GGCCUCAUCGUCUAAUGGCUAGGACGACAGAUUCUCAUUCUGUCAAUCGGAGUUCGAUUCUCCGUGAGGUCA
rnacentral:tRNA from 1 species